AUUUGUGUGGCUUUAUUAUCUGUUUUCCAUAUUAUUAUGACUGUAUACCACCGUUCCCAAACAGAGGAUGACUGUUUGGGAACCAAGAGUGUGGAAUAGCUGUGUUCACCUGAUACAACUUUCAAAAAAGCUCUCAAGGUCCAUUAAUGGGAGAAUGCAGAGCAGCAAAGCUUCCAAGACUCCACAGACAUCCAAAUGAGGUACUGCAUGUGGCAAUCUGUCUCUU
ensembl:misc_RNA 7SK 7SK RNA